AGAGUUUGAUCCUGGCUCAGAACGAACGCUGGCGGCAGGCCUAACACAUGCAGGUCGAGCGCCCGCAAGGGAGCGGCAGACGGGUGAGUAACGCGUGGGAACGUGCCCUUUGGUUCGGAAUAUUCCCGGGAAACUGGGAGCAAAACCGGAUAAGCCCUUCGGGGGAAAGUUUACGCCAAAGGAUCGGCCCGCGUUAGAUUAGGUAGUUGGUGGGGUAACGGCCUACCAAGCCUACGAUCUAUAGCUGAUCUGAGAGGAUGAUCAGCCACACUGGGACUGAGACACGGCCCAGACUCCUACGGGAGGCAGCAGUGGGGAAUCUUGGACAAUGGGCGCAAGCCUGAUCCAGCCAUGCCGCGUGGAUGACUGAAGGCCCUAGGGUUGUAAAGUCCUUUCGACGGGGACGAUAAUGACGGUACCCGUAGAAGAACCCCCGGCUAACUUCGUGCCAGCAGCCGCGGUAAUACGAAGGGGGCUAGCGUUGUUCGGAUUUACUGGGCGUAAAGGGCGCGUAGGCGGAUUUUUAAGUCGGGGGUGAAAUCCCGGAGCUCAACUCCGGAACUGCCUUCGAUACUGGAAGUCUGGAGCACGGUAGAGGUGAGUGGAAUUCCGAGUGUAGCGGUGAAAUGCGUAGA
rnacentral:rRNA from 1 species